rnacentral:lncRNA from 1 species
CCAACAACACAAGAGAAAACAGAUGGAAAUUCAAAUAAUCAUUUAUUCAACAUGUUGAUGCAACGGCCUCAAAGAGUGUGGCUACGAAUUGCAUUUGAGUGUCUUCAUCAAUUGUUGAGAAGAGAGGAACAUGGACAAACAGAGACUUGUGACCCUUCUGCUCUGCAAACCGAAGUGAGUGGUAAUAGACAUAAUUGCAAACGAAACGGCCUGCAUCGUCAGAUAUAACUACAUCAAAGCCCUUCUUCUUCAAGAACUUCAGGAUUGCUUCAGUGGAUAGAGAUGUCUUCAAGAAACAGAAGAUGAAAAUGUUAAACAAACGAGGAGAGUUGCCAGAGAAAGAACAGAGAAUUCAAAAUGUCACAUACUUAUGUCUAAUGGUAAGUGAUAAGGUUAUUGAUGCUAUAAAUCCCAAAAAAAAAAAUUAAAAAAGAAAACUCCUAAUCUCAUACAUGGAAAUUGGAGAGGAGGAGAGUGGAGGAAGGGUGCUCUCAGAUUACCUGUCUUGAUCGGGAAAUUCCUCCAUCCUCAAGGACUACUGGAAUUUGCUGGAAAAAGCAAAAGAAAAUUCAGUGUAAAAAACUAUGAAAGGCAAUUUUAUAUUCAAGUUCCAGAAGUGUUUUACAUUUUUUCAUGUUAAGGGAUUUACUUCACAUUAGGAAUAUAUGAAAGGUAUAAAAACAUACAUAUAUUCUGGAUUCAGAAGGCUACUGUAUAAGUUAUAGCCUCCAUUUUCCACAGAGGGAAUGGAGUAAUUGAAAUGGCUCCUUUGCAAACAAUGUAAUCCAGGAAGGAAAAAAGGUUAAGGAUCUUGGCCAAAAGAGUUUAAGAGAAUUGCUAUUUUGAUGGAAGACAAAGCAAAUUUACCUGAGGUUGCCAUCCCAGUUGGUCUGGACAAAGGAAUGUGGCUUCAUUCACUGCUUGCCGCUCUAAGGCAAACUUUGAUGACCCACUAUUUACCCCCAAAUGAAUCUGAAAAAGCAACAAAAUUUAAGUCUUCUUAGACACACUAUUUAAUCCAAAACUGAAAAGGUGAAUUCGUGGACUGACAUUUUUGUGAUCGGCAAUUUUAUUAAAUAUAUGAAUUCAAUGCAAUUGAUCUAGAGCACGUUGUUGCGCACCUCACAUUGGGGAGCUAGCCUGUGGGGCCCAGCGCCUCCCAAUAAGAGUGAAAUGCUUUAAAGCCAAGUCCCAGAGGAUACAAGCAGCCAAUAUACCAAAAACAUAAAGUAGACAGACAACAGCAACAGUUGAAGGUCGACUAUAGUGAAAAAUAGAGAAUGAAAAGGAGCAAGCAGUAAUAACAAAGCAAAUGCAAAGAAGGAGGGGGUAAAAAAAAGAAGUGAAGCAAUGAUUGACUAAAAACAACUAGAAAUUUAAGAGAUACGACUACCCUUAUAUUUAGACUAUGCACAAAGCAUCUACUAAUAUAAUUUUUAAAAGUUCGCCGGGCUUUUCUAUGUUCAAUUUGCACGAAAUUUUCUGGUCAGCCUCAAAACUGAGCGAUAGUGAGGCAUCCUGAGAAGUCUCAUGGAUUCUUAUUUCCUUUUGAAUUAGGCUUCAACAGCCGUGUUGUAGAGUUGGUGUCCCAAUUCACAGGCCUAAACAUGGCUGCUCUUAGUAAACUAAUUAACCAUUCAAAAGAAAAAAAAGUGUGAGAAUUUCCUCUCCUAUAUUACAUAUAAAUUCCAAAAUAUUAGCAAUUUUUAAAACUAAAUGAAGUUGCAGAACAAAGCUAACCCAGAUGACUUGUUCAUUGUUUGUAUUUGUUUGAGAUAUGCUCGAUUCCAAGGUCUUCAAAAGUGUGGGAAGUGCACCAUCUCCAGCUGCCUCCAGAACAGUGCAACUGCCUAAAGUAACACCAGCUGGCAGCCCUCUUCUUUCAACAUAAGCCUUUAGAUUGUUAACUACAGUCUCUGUAGGGUUUUCAGCAAUCCCUUGAAACUUCUUAAAUCCAUUUAUAUGUAUGGUUACAGCCUUUGGCCCUUCAGAUCCCAUCUCCUUACUUUGCAGAAGGAUGCAGUUCCCAAUUUUCAAGGUGACACUGCUGGUAGAUCUUCCCUAUGCAAUGCACUGAACCCCAACCUUCUGAAAACAACAAAAUAAAGCAAGAAAGAACUAUUACUAUGUUUCCUGUACAACACACAGAAGCAGCCAUUCUCCAGGUACAAGUUUGUCAAGACUGCUGAAUACAAAACUUUGAGAACUAACCCUCAGAUAAAGAACAAAACUAAAAACUAGUCCCUAGCUUAGAAGGAUGAUUAAAAGAAACAGUCUCAUAAAAUUUUUUGUUUUUUUUGCACAAUGCAGUGACCCUGUAAACCCUCACCCCAAGUGCAGGCGUGCGCACACACACAAAAAAAACCAAAAAAAAAUAAAAAUAAUAAUAAGGGAAGAAUUCCAUGACAAUUGACAUGCAAGAGGAAGAAAGAGCAGCUAACAGAGAUUCUAUUCAAACAGAGGGGAGUGAAUUUGACAAUGAUCCCUCAAAGAGAUGGUGGCAUUAUUUACCCAGUUAGAUAGAGUACCUUCUUCAAAUUAGCAACACCAUAAAAAUCUUUUCUAAAGGUCAAAGCUCAACACACUACUAGAUUAUGUAACACCAUAGCUAUUCUUUAGCUGAACUAGCCUUAAGAAAAAUAGAAUCUGUCGUAUGGUUGGAUGAAUUUCCAGCUGAUGUGUUGUAUCUGUUCUCUUGCUAAUUCAAUGAAAGGUUUACUUUCUUUUAAAAAAAAGGGAAGAAGAAGAAGCAAAAUUCCCUGCCUCACCAGUAAUCACCACAUUUUGAAGUCAAAAGAUCUUUUUUCUCCCUCACUACCCUUCCUAAGGGCACCUUUUAUUCUAUCUAGAAGUCAAACAGAGGCUAUCAUCAAGAAUUUAAAGGAAAACGUAAGCAUGAAAUAGAAACUCCAUUUGUUUCAAUUUUAAUAUUCCUCAAUCAAUCAUUACAUGAACCAUAAAACCAAGUUAUUCAAUAAGUUUGAUUCUUUUAGCAGAAAAAAAAAAGCUGAAUCUUCA